rnacentral:rRNA from 1 species
CCUACGGGAGGCAGCAGUGGGGAAUAUUGCACAAUGGGGGAAACCCUGAUGCAGCGACGCCGCGUGAGUGAAGAAGUAUUUCGGUAUGUAAAGCUCUAUCAGCAGGGAAGAAAAUGACGGUACCUGAUUAAGAAGCCCCGGCUAACUACGUGCCAGCAGCCGCGGGAAUACGCAGGGGGCAAGCGUUAACCGGAUUUACUGGGUGUAAAGGGAGCGUAGACGGCAGCACAAGUCUGGAGUGAAAUGCCGGGGCUUAACCCCGGAAGUGCUUUCGAAACUGUGCGGCUAGAGUGCAGGCGAGGUAAGUGGAAUGCCUAGUGUAGCGGUGAAAUGCGUAGAUAUUAGGAGGAACACCAGUGGCGAAGGCGGCUUACUGGACUGUAACUGACGUUGAGGCUCGAAAGCGUGGGGAGCAAACAGGAUUAGAUACCCCAGUAGUC